rnacentral:lncRNA from 1 species
CUUCCUGCUACAAAUUCAUCAGAAGAGGAAAAAUGAUAUAUGCGAUACUUUUCCUGAUGUUUGUACCUGUUGACAGUCAGCCAGAGAAGUAAGGGAUUCUUUUUCUAAUGUUUUUUUUUCUGUUAAAAAAUAGCCAUUGAGUCAGCUAGUAUAUUUUAAAUGUAUCUUAUACAGUAGUAUCUUUAAUAAUGGUAAAUGUAUCAGUUUACAGUCUAACAAGAUAAAAUGUAUAUAAAAAAUACCGAACUUGAAGUUCAAAAAGGAGAGUUAGUACAUCUUUAAAGUCAGCCAGAGAAUUAAAACUACAUAUUUGAAUGUGUGUACAUAUAACUGUUGAAAGUCAAUCAGACGACCUCUUUUAAUUGCAAAUGUGUCCAUUCAUAGUCAGUCAGUUAAGUACGCUGAAUUGAGUUCGUGUUUCUCAUACUUCUGUUUUCUAUGGUUUGUAUGUGUACUUUUGUUUAUCUGUUGUUGUAGGAUAGUCGGUUUAUUUUUGAGUUUGAGUUCAAAGUCCCUUUGGGAUCUGUGUUUUCUUAAAUGAACCUGUUUACACUAGGUUAGAAGCAUAACAGUAUCAUUGAAUGUAUCAUUGAAUGUAUUAAACAGUUUUUCUCAUCAAAUCCGCACGAAAUACAAAAAACAGUUAAUAAAACACAAGGACACAACAUACCGAUCUAAGGGCACUCACAGUUACCAAAACAUACUGCAUAGCUGUAAAUUAACAUAGAAAUUAUUUCAAAAUAUAAGGUACCUAUUGACAAGUAUUUGCUAUUAAACUUAUCAUCUUUUGAUAUUUGUAAAUUAACAAACAGGAGGUAAGUAAGAGACGAGUCUCCGCGUCUUUUCCAGUUUUUAUAUACAGUUAGAGAAGUGUGUAUUAAUUUUGUAAUGUUCGUAAAUAUGCCCGUUUACACUCAGGCAAAUAAGAUUGUGUUUCUACAUGUUUGUAAACGUACCUGUUAUUUACAGUCAGCCAGAGGAGUAAGUUUGCAUUUUUUCCAAAUCCUGUUGACCGUGAAUUAGAUAAUCUAGUAUGUUUGUUUUAAUUGAUCUUUAUAAAUUUAUAAAUCAUUAACAUGAUUAAUUUACACAUUAAAGUGAGUUAACAUCUAUUUUGACAAGCAACACUGAUAUCUAUAUAUAGUUUUAUCAAUAACGCACGAAAGAGGAUAUGGAAAUUUACAGUUCUUCACUUAGAAACCGUAAUUUGAGUAAGGGUUCGUAUUAUAAAAAGUAUGUAAAAAUAUCUGACUGAUUUUAACAUAUGAAUGACAUCAUAGUGACAUCCCAUCAACUGUCGGGACUAAAGUGUUACAAUGGUAAAUGCAUACAUUGUUUUUUUAAUUAAAUGGACAUAUAUGAAUGGCUCUUAUCACUUCUGUUCUAUCGUUCUGAGUUUUUGAAUUUAAAUCAUGUCUGCCUCAUCAAUAGCCAAUUAAUGUCGUAUAAAAUAUAUUAUUGAUAUUGACAAUAAUUGCUAUGAUUUUAGCUGUACUUAUAUAAUGACCGUUCCAAAGGUAACCAGACCUGGGACAGACAUUGAUAUAUGUAUAACGAUAUGGAAGAAAGGGUCUGGUAAUGUUAAUAUAGCCGCUGUAUUAAGAAAUAAUAAUGGACAAACGAUAUCU